GUACGGAAGGCAGCAGUGGGGAAUUGUUCGCAAUGGGCGCAAGCCUGACGACGCAACGCCGCGUGGAGGAUGAAGGUCUUCGGAUUGUAAACUCCUGUUGCCCGGGACGAAACGUUUCGACCUAACACGUCGAGACCUGACGGUACCGGGUGAGGAAGCCCCGGCUAACUCUGUGCCAGCAGCCGCGGUAAUACAGAGGGGGCAAGCGUUGUUCGGAAUUACUGGGCGUAAAGGGCGCGUAGGCGGCCUUCUAAGUCGAACGUGAAAUCCCCGGGCUCAACCCGGGAACUGCGUCCGAUACUGGAAGGCUUGAAUCCGGGAGAGGGAUGCGGAAUUCCAGGUGUAGCGGUGAAAUGCGUAGAUAUCUGGAGGAACACCGGUGGCGAAGGCGGCAUCCUGGACCGGCAUUGACGCUGAGGCGCGAAAGCCAGGGGAGCAAACGGGAUUAGAUACCCCGGUAGUCGG
rnacentral:rRNA from 1 species